AAACUCAAAGGAAUUGACGGGGAGCACCACAACGGGUGGAGCUUGCGGUUUAAUUGGAUUCAACGCCGGAAAUCUUACCGGGACCGACAGCAAUAUGAAGGCCAGGCUGAAGACUUUGCCGGAUUAGCUGAGAGGCGGUGCAUGGCCGUCGCCAGUUCGUACUGUGAAGCAUCCUGUUAAGUCAGGCAACGAGCGAGACCCACGCCCACAGUUGCCAGCGUACUCUCUGGAGUGACGGGUACACUGUGGGGACCGCCGCUGCUAAAGCGGAGGAAGGAAUGGGCAACGGUAGGUCAGUAUGCCCCGAAUAUCCCGGGCUACACGCGAGCUACAAUGGUUGGUACAAUGGGUAUCUACCCCGAAAGGGGACGGGAAUCUCCUAAAACCAAUCUUAGUUCGGAUUGAGGGCUGCAACUCGCCCUCAUGAAGCUGGAAUCCGUAGUAAUCGCGUUUCAACAGAACGCGGUGAAUACGUCCCUGCUCCUC
rnacentral:rRNA from 1 species